rnacentral:rRNA from 1 species
AAUGAACGCUGGCGGCAGGCCUAACACAUGCAAGUCGAACGGAUCCUUCGGGAUUAGUGGCGGACGGGUGAGUAACGCGUGGGAACAUACCCAAAGGUACGGAAUAGCCUCGGGAAAUUGGGAGUAAUACCGUAUGUGCUCGAAAGAGGAAAGAUUUAUCGCCUUUGGAUUGGCCCGCGUUGGAUUAGGUAGUUGGUGGGGUAAUGGCCUACCAAGCCAACGAUCCAUAGCUGGUUUGAGAGGAUGAUCAGCCACACUGGGACUGAGACACGGCCCAGACUCCUACGGGAGGCAGCAGUGGGGAAUCUUAGACAAUGGGGGAAACCCUGAUCUAGCCAUGCCGCGUGAUCGAUGAAGGCCUUAGGGUUGUAAAGAUCUUUCAGGUGGGAAGAUAAUGACUGUACCACCAGAAGAAGCCCCGGCUAACUCCGUGCCAGCAGCAGCCGCGG